rnacentral:rRNA from 1 species
CACGCCCUAAACGAUGUCAACUGGUUGUUGGGUAUUUGCUUACUCAGUAACGAAGCUAACGCGUGAAGUUGACCGCCUGGGGAGUACGGCCGCAAGGUUGAAACUCAAAGGAAUUGACGG